rnacentral:rRNA from 1 species
AGAGUUUGAUCAUGGCUCAGAAUCAACGCUGGCGGCGUGCCUAACACAUGCAAGUCGAACGAGAAAGUGGAGCAAUCCAUGAGCUAAAGUGGCGACCGGGUGAGUAACACGUGACUAACCUACCUUCGAGUGGGGGAUAACCUCGGGAAACCGGGGCUAAUACCGCAUAACAUCUUUGGAGUGGAAAUUCUGGAGAUCAAAGGAGCAAUUCGCUGGAAGAGGGGGUCGCGGCUGAUUAGCUAGUUGGCGGGGUAACGGCCCACCAAGGCUUAGAUCGGUAGCCGGCCUGAGAGGGCGCACGGCCACACUGGAACUGAAACACGGUCCAGACUCCUACGGGAGGCAGCAGUGGGGAAUUUUGCGCAAUGGGGGAAACCCUGACGCAGCAACGCCGCGUGGAGGAUGAAGUCCCUUGGGACGUAAACUCCUUUCGACCCGGACGAUAAUGACGGUACGGAUGGAAGAAGCCCCGGCUAACUGCGUGCCAGCAGCCGCGGUA